ensembl:snoRNA
UGUCCGCACACAGUGGCUUAUUCCUGCGUGGUUCAAGGAUAGGACAAUGGAAAUUCUGGGUCUGAAUUGCUGAUUUUGUCGGCUUUCUGCCUGUUAUCCCUGGUAUUUCUUUUUUUAAAAAA